CCGCCUGAGUAGUACGUACGCAAGUAUGAAACUUAAAGGAAUUGACGGGAUCCCGCACAAGCGGUGGAUCAUGUUGUUUAAUUCGAAGAUACACGAAAAACCUUACCAGGUCUUGACAUAUUCUGCGAAGCUAUAGAAAUAUAGUGGAGGUUACCAGAAAUACAGGUGGUGCAUGGUUGUCGUCAGCUCGUGUCGUGAGAUGUUAGGUUAAGUUCUAAAACGAGCGCAACCCUUAUCGUUAGUUACCAGCAUGUUAUGAUGGGGACUUUAGCGAGACUGCCAAUGAAAAAUUGGAGGAAGGUGAGGAUUACGUCAAAUCAUCAUGCCCCUUAUGAUCUGGGCUACAAACG
rnacentral:rRNA from 1 species